rnacentral:tRNA from 1 species
GGGGAUUUAGCUCAGUGGCAUAAGCACCUGCCUUGCAAGCACUUGGUCGUGAGUUCAAUCCCCG